rnacentral:rRNA from 1 species
CAAGAUCGAACUGAAGAGUUUGAUCCUGGCUCAGAUUGAACGCUGGCGGCAUGCCUUACACAUGCAAGUCGAACGGUAACGCGGGGCAACCUGGCGACGAGUGGCGAA